rnacentral:lncRNA from 1 species
UUUUUUUUUUUUUUUUUUUUUUGAGACAGCCUCACUCACUCUGUUGCCUAGGCUGGAGUGCAGUGGUGCAAUCUUGGCUCACUGCAACCUCUGCCUCCUGGGUUUAAGAGAUUCUCCUGCCUCAGCCUCCUGAGUAUCUGGGAUUACAGGCAUGUGCCACCACGCUUGACUAAUUUUUGUAUUUUUAAUAGAGAUGGGGUUCACCAUGUUGGCCAGGUUAGUCUCGAACUCCUGACCUCAGGUGAUAUCCACCAGCCUCUGCCUCCCAAAGUGCUGAAAUUACAGGCAUGAGCCACCCCAGCCAGCCCAAAUCUAGUUUUAAGAACCCAGUCUGGGAGGCUUAGCACAUGAGGAGGGGGACCAUGGGCCCCUCGUGGAUGCACGGCUGGGCUCUGUGCUGCGGGAUGAGGCUGGAGAAACAAACAUGUGAUGUUUGAAGAUGAUCAAUGCCGUGAUUAUCUAUUAUGCAAAUCCUCUGCACAGACACAAUGGAUAUUGCAGAAGCAUUUGGUUAUAUUCCGCCAAGAUUUGUUCACGUAUCAGUGCUAAGGUGUCAAGUAGGCUCAUGUCAACCUGAAGGGAAAGGUACUAUAUUGUCCCCACUUUCUAGAUGAAGAAACUGAGCCCCAGAAACAGGACACUACCUGCCCAAGGCCGCAGAGUCAUUGAGUAAGCAGGAGAGCCAGCACUGGAACCCAGGUGGGCUAACUCCAUCCCUUUAGCCCUUCUCCCUCCCUUUUCUCCUUCCUUUCUUCCUUCCAUUUUCUUUCUUUUCUUUUUCUUUCCUUCUCUCUCUCUCUUUCUCUUUUUUCCUUCCUUCCUUCUUUUUUUUCUUUUUUUUUUUGAGACAGAGUGUCUCUUUGUUGCCCAGACUGGAGUGCAAUGGCAUGAUCUGGGCUCACUGCAACUUCUGCCUCCUGGUUUCAAGCGAUUCUUCUGCCUCAGCCUCCUGAGAAGCUGGGACUACAGGCAUGCGCCACCAUGCGUGGCUAAGUUUUCUAUUUUUAGUAGAGAUGGGGCUUCACCUUGUUCGCCAGUCUGGUCUCAAACUCCUGACCUCAAGUGAUCCGCCUGCCUCGCUCUCCCAAAGUGCUGGGAUUACAGGUGGAGGCUGAGGUGGGUGGAUCGCUUGAGCUCGGGAAUUUGAGAUCAGCCUGGGAAACAUAGGGAAACCCCGUCUCUACUAAAAGAUACAGAAAUUAACCAGGCAUGGUGGCUGGUGCCUGUGGUCCCAGCUACCUGUAGAGGCUGAGGCAGGAGGAUCGCUUGAGCCUGGAAGGCGGAGGUUGCAGUAAGCUGAGAUCGUGCCGCUGAACUCCCCCCUGGGGUACAGAGGGAAAUCCUGCCUUGAAAGAAAGAAAAGAAAAGAAAAGAAAAGAAAAAGAGAAGGUGCUUUGGGAACAGAGAUGAAUUAAAGUUUGGAAAUGGUGUGUGUGAGUUGUUUUGGGGACACCGUCAUGCUUUCCAGUCAGCGGAAGUUCAUCUUGUCUUAAAAUCAUUCUGUGUGGGAACCGUCAUCACAUACACAGUAAUGACUGUGAUUGGUGCUCGUCAGGUUUCCCAGGAACGUCAGAGAGCAAAGAAGGCUGCCCGGGACACAGGAAACCUCAGUGUUUAAGUUGUCUCAUAGGAGACAAAGGCUGCUCUCUGUUUACCAGCGCCAGGCACAGGGCGCGGUACCUCCUCCACAAGUCUUUGGAAUGGAUGAACAAUUGGAGGGAAGGUUCGCAGUGUUGGGUUGCUGAGCAGGGAAGCCUUAAAUCCAGAAAGCCUCAUCUGCUUCACAAUGAAACACAGCACAGAGGAAGCAACAAGGAGGCAACACACAUUUACAAGGAGGGCCAGGUCCCAGGCCAGGCAAUGAGGACACAGUGGCUAUGAAGACACUGUUCCUGCCCUCAGGGUACCAUGUUGGAUCUCAUCCCACGACAACAUAAGAGAACAGGAAAACCCGGACCUAUAGGGUAGAUACAAUACCGUAUCAUUUUAAUAGCUUUUCACACCAAAAUAUGUGGUUUAAGGGUGUGAUAUUGCAUUUUGGUAGCCUUUUUUUUUUUUUCUUUUUUUUUCAGAGACAGGGUCUUGCUUUGUUACCCAGGCUGGAGUGCAGUCGUAUGAUCACAGCUCACUGCAGCCUCGACCUCCUGGGCUCAAGUGAUCCUCCCAUCUCAGAAUCCUAAGUAGCUGGGACUACAGAUAGGUGUCACCAUGCCCAGCUAAUGCUUUAUAUUUGUAGAGAUGGGAGGGGUGGUCUCACUAUGUUGCCUAGACUUGUCUUGAAGUCCUGGACUCAAGCAAUCCUCCCAUCUCAGAAUCCCAAAGUGCUGGGAUUACAGGCGUGAGUUACUGCACCACUGAGCCAAAAACCUGCCUUGGUAGCUUUUUAUUAAUUACUUAUUAUUUUAUUUUAUUAUUUGAGAUGGAGUCUCACUCACUCUCUUUCCCAGGUUGGAGUGCUGUGGCUUG